rnacentral:misc_RNA from 1 species
GAAUGAAGAACGUAGCGAAAUGCGAUAAGUAAUGUGAAUUGCAGAAUUCAGUGAAUCAUCGAAUCUUUGAACGCACCUUGCGCCCUUUGGCCAUUCCGAAGGGCAUGCCUGUUUGAGUAUCAUGAACACCUCAACUCUUUAUGGUUUUCCAUGAUGAGCUUGGACUCUGGGGGUUUUGCUGGCUCACAGUCGGCUCCUCUAAAAUGAAUCAGCUUACCAGUGUUUGGUGGGUAUCAUGGGUGUGAUAACUAUCUACGCUUGUGGUUUUUCCACCAGGUAACCUUCAGCAGUGGAGGUUCGCUGGAGCUCAUAGAUGUCUCUCCUCAGUGAGGACAGCCCUUUGAAUGUUUGAUCUCAAAUCAGGUAGGACUACCCGCUGAACUUAAGCAUAUCAAUAAGCGGAGGA